rnacentral:rRNA from 1 species
UACGGGGGGGGUAAGCGUUGUUCGGAAUUACUGGGCGUAAAGGGCUCGUAGGCGGUCAACUAAGUCGGACGUGAAAUCCCUCAGCUUAACUGGGGAACUGCGUCCGAUACUGGAUGGCUUGGAUUUGGGAGAGGGAUGCGGAAUUCCAGGUGUAGCGGUGAAAUGCGCAGAUAUCGGGAAGAACACCUAUGGCGAAGGCAGCUCUCUGGGACGGUACUGACGCUGAGACGCGAAAGCGUGGGGAGCGAACAGG